UGCCACAAUAAUGUGCAUCCAGGACCAAC
rnacentral:piRNA from 1 species